GAUGAACGCUGGCGGCGUGCCUAAUACAUGCAAGUCGAACGAACAGAUAGGAACCUUCUUCCUCUGACGUUUGCGGCAGGCGUGAGAAUCACGCAUGUAUCCUCCACCUAUGAGACUGGUAUAACUUCGAAAAGCCAGAUCUUAUACCAUAUAAUAUGUUGUACCGUAUCAUUCACUAGAAAAAUGCAGUUUUGUCGUUACUUAUAGAUGCUUCGUCGCAGUAUCAACUAGUUGGGAAGGUAACGGCUUACAAAGGCAACGAUGCGUAGCCGACCGGAGAGGGUGAUCGGCCACACGGGAACGGAGAAACGGCCAAGACUCCUACGGGAGGAAGCAGUGGGGAAUUUUGGGCAAGGGGGGAAAGCCUGACGGAGAAAGGCGGCGUGGGUGAUGAAGGUCUUGGGAUCGUAAAACUCUGUGUUUGGGAAAGAAGAGAUGUGGAAGUAAAUAUGCACGCUGUGACGGUACCUAAUCAGAAAGAGACGGCUAACUACGUG
rnacentral:rRNA from 1 species